rnacentral:rRNA from 1 species
CUAUACAUGACUCUGUGCAUAUCAAUAAGCGGAGGAAAAGAAACUAACAAGGAUUCCCUUAGUAACGGCGAGUGAAGCGGGAAGAGCUCAGAUUUGAAAUCUUCAAGGUUUUACCUUGACGAAUUGUAGUUUAAAGAAGUGUUUUCUGCUGAAGUUUUGGUAAAAGUUCUUUGGAAUAGGACAUCAUAGAGGGUGAGAAUCCCGUAUUUGACCAUUAUUUUCAGCUUUGUGAUACACUUUCAAAGAGUCGGAUUGUUUGGGAAUGCAGUCCAAAAUGGGUGGUAAAUUUCAUCUAAAGCUAAAUAUUGGCGAGAGACCGAUAGCGAACAAGUACCGUGAGGGAAAGAUGAAAAGAACUUUGAAAAGAGAGUUAAACAGUACGUGAAAUUGUCAAAAGGGAAGCGUUUGACACCAGUGUUGUUUUCUCGAAAAUCAAUUAAAAAUGGCUCGAUUUUGUAUUGCUUGAGACCUUAAAAGCUCACUGUACAUUUUUCGUGUCUUUUUUAAUGCACUUUUCGUUUAACAAGUCAACAUCAGUUUCUUUUGUUGUAAAAGGGUCAUUGGAAGGUGGCUUUCUUUUCGGAGAAAGUGUUUAUAGCCUUUGGCCUCUGCAAUCGGAGAGACUGAGGUCUGCAGCGUAGACUCUUCGGGGUUAGAUACAUUUGUGCUAAGUUAUAGCUUUUUAUAGACAACUUGUUGACUAUAAUUAGUCUUGUAGCUUACUCGCUUAUGCUAUUUUACCUACGCUUAGGAUGUUGAAGAUGUAGCACAUCAU